rnacentral:rRNA from 1 species
UACGGGGGGGGCAAGCGUUGUUCGGAAUUACUGGGCGUAAAGGGCUCGUAGGUGGCCAACUAAGUCAGACGUGAAAUCCCUCGGCUUAACCGGGGAACUGCGUCUGAUACUGGAUGGCUUGAGUUUGGGAGAGGGACGCGGAAUUCCAGGUGUAGCGGUGAAAUGCGUAGAUAUCUGGAGGAACACCGGUGGCGAAGGCGGCGUCCUGGACCAACACUGACACUGAGGAACGAAAGCCAGGGGAGCAAACGGG